rnacentral:tRNA from 1 species
GGAGGAGUGGCAGAGUGGUCUAUUGCGGCGGUCUUGAAAACCGUUGUGCCCGCGAGGGCACCGUGGGUUCAAAUCCUACCUCCUCCGCCA